ACCAUAAACACUGUCACCACAGUGAAGAAGGCCCAACAGCGGCUUUCCUUUAUUAGGCUGCUAAGGAAGUCCUAUAGAGGACUUGUGGAGACUGUCUGGUUUGGAAGCACUACCCAGGCAGAAAGGAGAGCUCUCCAAAGAGUUGUAAAGACCGGAGAGAAGAUCAUCGGAGCGGACCUUCCAUCCAUGUGUAGCAGGAUUAGGUGAGCUGUGAUUGACAGUUAUCACAACCUAUUAGGGAGUGGCAGUCCCCUUUUAAGCGGCGAUUGGCUGCUGCCCGAAAUGCGUCAUGUCCGGCUUUCCCCCUUGGUGUUCGCAACGAUAGCGACAGAACGUUUGUCUAUCGUGCUGGUGCCCUCCUGUACUUGAGUGGGUUAAAUGACUGUUUACCCUCAGUUAGCUGUUGUUUACCUGAUGUUGGUAAACCUGUGCUGUAAACUGUAAUGCGUCUGAGGUGAUGCCACUGUUUGGAUUCUCCCUUUUGUUCUACGCCGUGCUUCCUCUAUUGCUGCAGUUUGAUUUUCGCGCUGCUGUGUCGUACCGCUGAAACGACGUCACUAUCUUUACCGUGAUACCAUGGACUGUACACUGUCUGGUUUCUAAGCUUUACUGCAAAAUUCUAUUUCUCAGUGGAGGAUUGUCCAGCACAUUGAAGCUGGCGUAUGGACUUUGUGUUCGCGCCGUAUGAUUUCUUCUGUGUAGCCCAUUUGCCAUUUAUUGGUGUGUGUUGCUUUACUUUCAGGGGCUGGGGGUUUCCACGGGCAAAGGAUCUUGUAAUGGUGGUGGUACAGCGUCAAUGGUUGCCGUGCUACACAUUUUUGCUGUGUACGAGUGUGUGUGCUCUGAAUUCACGGUGUGGUGUGUGAGUGCUUUGUGAUAAUUUGCGCCAGUGAUCACUCCUGUGGGAACCUCAGCCCUGUAAGUUGAUGUUUUGUGUUUUUAUUUAUGUUGACUGUUGCCAGUCAUUGUAUUCUUUGUAGAAAUUAUAUUUUCUUUUCUACAGUCGUUUUGUACUUUUGUAUAAUUUUGUUUUGUGUGAUAAUGUGAUGUUUUAAGAUAAUCUGUUUUGUGUCUUUUAUGGUUGGAGUGUAAGAGAGCUGUGUGUGGAGUAACAUCAGUCUAUGCCUGUUUUAAGUCAUUCUCCUACCUCAAUUAAGGUUGUAAAAAUAAAUCUUAUAUUUUUGUAUUAUACCCACGUCUCCUGCUCAUUGCUCUUGUUCUGAGGAAUGAACUUGUGUGCCUUACCGCCUUUUUGGGUGUAAGGAUUAUUUCCCUGGGUGUAAGUCCUGGGGUGGCGUAGUCGGAGUUUUAUGCAAAAUCUUUGCUUUCGUCACAAAGCUUUCCCCCAACCCCCUCGUCAUGCCACACAUGGACACUCUACAUACAAAAUGCUGCAGGAAGAGACCUAAGAACAUUCUCAGGGACACACACCACCAUGCACAUUCAAUGUUUAGGCCUAAGCAUUCAAUAUAUAAUUUGAGAUAUGGCAGAUCGGACAGUAUUAUUUUGCACAGGGUGCGGUUUUAUAAC